rnacentral:rRNA from 1 species
UACGAAGGGGGCUAGCGUUGCUCGGAAUUACUGGGCGUAAAGCGCACGUAGGCGGUCUUUUAAGUCGGGGGUGAAAUCCUGGAGCUCAACUCCAGAACUGCCUUCGAUACUGGAAGACUUGAGUCCGGGAGAGGUGAGUGGAACUGCGAGUGUAGAGGUGAAAUUCGUAGAUAUUCGCAAGAACACCAGUGGCGAAGGCGGGUCUCUGGGCCGUAACUGACGCUGAGGAGCGAAAGCGUGGGGAGCGAACAGG